rnacentral:misc_RNA from 1 species
AAUGUAUCUGAUUUUAUUAGGGUGGGAGGAGUUCAGAAGCUUCAAGAUGGAGAAUUUAUAGUGCAAGCAACAAAAGAUUGUGUAGCAAAGACACUCAAGAGAUUAGAGGAGAAAAUACAUGGAAGGGUUUUAAAUCACUUAUUACAUCUAAUGCGUGUAGCUGAGAAAGCUGUGCAAAGACGAGUCUCCCUUGCUCUUGCUCAUCUUUGUUCACCUGAUGAUCAGA